CACCACAACGGGUGGAGCUUGCGGUUUAAUUGGAUUCAACGCCGGAAAUCUUACCGGGACCGACAGCAAUAUGAAGGCCAGGCUGAAGACUUUGCCGGAUUAGCUGAGAGGUGGUGCAUGGCCGUCGUCAGUUCGUACUGUGAAGCAUCCUGUUAAGUCAGGCAACGAGCGAGACCCACGCCCACAGUUGCCAGCGUACUCUCCGGAGUGACGGGUACACUGUGGGGACCGCCGCUGCUAAAGCGGAGGAAGGAAUGGGCAACGGUAGGUCAGUAUGCCCCGAAUAUCCCGGGCUACACGCGAGCUACAAUGGUUGGUACAAUGGGUAUCUACCCCGAAAGGGGACGGGAAUCUCCUAAAACCAAUCUUAGUUCGGAUUGAGGGCUGCAACUCGCCCUCAUGAAGCUGGAAUCCGUAGUAAUCGCGUUUCAACAGAACGCGGUGAAUACGUCCCUGCUCCUU
rnacentral:rRNA from 1 species